GGAUCGUGCAUUGUGCCAUGACAAGUGUCCCAUGCUUGGGGAUAGUAACCCAGGCUAAAUCGCUGUCCUCGGUCCACAUCCCCCACCCCAGCUUUCAUGCCCACCUGGAAGGGGCCCUCAUCUUCAGUCACUUUCUCUCUCCCAGGCCACAGUGGCUGCCUUCACAGCCAGCGAGGGCCACGCACAUCCCAGGGUAGUGGAGCUACCCAAGACGGAUGAGGGCCUAGGCUUCAACAUCAUGGGUGGCAAAGAGCAAAACUCGCCCAUCUACAUCUCCCGGGUCAUCCCAGGGGGUGUGGCUGACCGCCAUGGAGGCCUCAAGCGUGGGGAUCAACUGUUGUCGGUGAACGGUGUGAGCGUUGAGGGUGAGCAGCAUGAGAAGGCGGUGGAGCUACUGAAGGCGGCCCAGGGCUCGGUGAAGCUGGUUGUCCGUUACACGCCGCGAGUGCUGGAGGAGAUGGAGGCCCGGUUCGAGAAGAUGCGCUCUGCCCGCCGG
rnacentral:sRNA from 1 species